CACAUUCUUUCUAAGUCAGUCCUGAGGCUGAACACAGCGCAGCAGUGAUCACGCUCCUUUGUGUGUGUGUGUGGUGUGUGCCCGCGCGUUUGUGUAUGUCAUGACUAUGAAACACUGUCCCAGGUUGAUCUUGGGGAUGACAAACACUCCUCUGAACCUCGUACCUCACCUAACCCUCGGAGGGGGGGGUGGGGAUAAGCUAGUCAUGAGAAUCCCCAGGCCAGAAACUCAUUGUGGUACAAAAAUCCAAAUUUUGGUGAUCCGUAUUUCCUUCCUCUGCUCCCACCUCCAGCUUUCUCCUUCCCUGUCUCCAUCCUGAUCUUUCUCAUCUCUCGACUUCCUUUCCUCUGCCCGUUACCUGCUCCCUCGGCCCUCCUCCUCCUCCUGCUCCUCCUCCCUCUCCCCAUCUCAGCUGCGGCUAAAACCUGGAGUCUUGGGGAAAAGGGAAAAAAAAAAAAAAAAACCCUCGGCUGUAGAGCUGUCAAACCGGGCAUGCUCAGUAGACAGGGCAGGUUUUUUGGUCUCGAGUAGCGGAGAAACAUUUUUUGCACCACCGCUACCAGCCUUAGAGCGCGGCGGCGGCGGCCACGGCAACAGCAGCACAGCCGUUCGCCGUGCAGACGCCCCGCACCCGGGAGCGCGGCGGGCUCCGGCUCAGCCCGGAGUUCACCUCCGAGCGCCCCGGGGGCUGAGCUCACCCCUUCUGCUCGCACACACACGCACACUCUCUCUUUCACGGACACUCUCGCGUAUACACACUCUCGCACACGCACACGACCCCGGGCGCAAGCACCCUCCUGGCAAGGAUCGUCCGCUGGCGCGGCAAUAGCCAGGAACCGGCUGAGACGCCUGAAGUCCUGGGCACCGGCGGCGCCCGGCGGGGCUGAGCACCUGGCAAGGGGGCGGGGGACCGCACCUGGGGACGCCACCGAAACUUGCGCCUGGACUAGGAAUUACAAGAGUGACCUUUAUUCAGCUGUCUCCUUUUUGAUUCCCAUAACUUCUGGAUCUAUCAAGGUGGUCAUUCAAGGUCAAGCAUCUCUCUGUAACUUGGAACCAGCCAAGUGCAUAACCUGAUGAGUUCAGACUCCAAUGCUUUCAAUCUGGCACCCUUCAUGAGCAGUGAAGCUUGAAGAUUAAACAACAGUGUCGUAUCUGACUGAAGCUAACAGCCUCAAACAAAACUGGUUAUGGAGAUUUGAUUAUAGCAAAAUGGAAUUCAGCAUUCCAUGGUCAUUUAAAUAUUACCUACUAUGCACUUUUAUCUGUCUUCAAUUAUUUGUAUCUCAUUUCACAGACGCAUUAAAGAUAACCUCAC
rnacentral:lncRNA from 1 species